ACGGGUGAGUAACACGUAGGUAACCUGCCUUUAAGACUGGGAUAACUAUCGGAAACGAUAGCUAAGACCGGAUAACUGGUACUCUCGCAUGAGAGAAUCAUAAAACACGGAGUAAUCUGUGGCUUGAAGAUGGGCCUGCGGCGCAUUAGCUAGUUGGUGAGGUAACGGCUCACCAAGGCGACGAUGCGUAGCCGACCUGAGAGGGUGAACGGCCACACUGGGACUGAGACACGGCCCAGACUCCUACGGGAGGCAGCAGUAGGGAAUCUUCCGCAAUGGACGCAAGUCUGACGGAGCAACGCCGCGUGAGUGAUGAAGGUUUUCGGAUCGUAAAGCUCUGUUGCCCUAGACGAACAGCAAGGAGAGUAACUGCUCUUUGUGUGACGGUAUAGGAGAAGAAAGCCCCGGCUAACUACGUGCCAGCAGCCGCGGUAAUACGUAGGGGGCAAGCGUUGUCCGGAAUUAUUGGGCGUAAAGCGCGCGCAGGCGGUCAUUUAAGUCUGGUGUUUAAGCCCGGGGCUCAACCCCGGUUCGCAUCGGAAACUGGAUGACUUGAGUGUAAGAGAGGAAAGUGGAAUUCCACGUGUAGCGG
rnacentral:rRNA from 1 species